AAAGGGAGACCUAAUUCAGGUAAAAGACGAAAAAAAAGUAGUCCCAACCAAGAAUCAAUCCCAAAAGGUCGGAGCGAGGCGAAAUUGGCUUUCAAACUAGGUUCUGGGUUCACAGAAGACCUGAAUCAGGAACAAGGGCUAUUAGCUCAGGUGGUUAGAGCGCACCCCUGAUAAGGGUGAGGUCCCUGGUUCGAGUCCAGGAUGGCCCACCUGCACAGGUGGUAAAAACAAGAGAAGCGAGGAAUCAGCACCUUAUCUUACUUACAUAGUAAGAGAGAAUGCUGGCUCUGAGUAAAGAGUCCAGAGGAACCUUGAAAACUGCAUAGAGCUAGGUGAAAAAGCCAAAAAAGAAGACCGCAAG
rnacentral:tRNA from 1 species